rnacentral:rRNA from 1 species
CCUGGAACGGGACGCCAUAGAGGGUGAGAGCCCCGUCUGGUCGGAUACCUAGCCUCUGUAAAGCUCCUUCGACGAGUCGAGUAGUUUGGGAAUGCUGCUCAAAAUGGGAGGUAUAUGUCUUCUAAAGCUAAAUAUUGGCCAGAGACCGAUAGCGCACAAGUAGAGUGAUCGAAAGAUGAAAAGCACUUUGAAAAGAGGGUUAAAAAGUACGUGAAAUUGUUGAAAGGGAAGCGCCUAUGACCAGACUUGGGCCCGGUGAAUCAUCCAGCGUUCUCGCUGGUGCACUUUGCCGGGCACAGGCCAGCAUCAGUUUGGCGCGGGGGAUAAAGGCUUUGGGAAUGUGGCUCCCCCGGGAGUGUUAUAGCCCAUUGCGCAAUACCCUGCGCCGGACUGAGGUACGCGCAUUGCAAGGAUGCUGGCGUAAUGGUCAUCAGCGACCCGUCUUGAAACACGGACCAAGGAGUCGUCUUCGUAUGCGAGUGUUCGGGUGUCAAACCCCUACGCGUAAUGAAAGUGAACGCAGGUGAGAGCUUCGGCGCAUCAUCGACCGAUCCUGAUGUUCUCGGAUGGAUUUGAGUAAGAGCAUACGGGGCCGGACCCGAAAGAAGGUGAACUAUGCCUGUAUAGGGUGAAGCCAGAGGAAACUCUGGUGGAGGCUCGCAGCGGUUCUGACGUGCGAAUCGAUCGUCAAAUAUGGGCAUGGGGGCGAAAG